rnacentral:ncRNA from 1 species
AGGUUUUUGACAAAGUACCCAUAGCGGAGAGAACAGGCAGAUCAUAAAGACGCCGUCUUCCCUUUGUAAAAAUAAGCUUCCCUGGAGGCUCGAUCCGCGCCAUCCCUGGCGCGGACGCUUU